UGACCCUUGAUAUACCAAGGGUCACCUAGCCAACUGACGUUGUUAGUGAACCAUUUUGUUCACACUCAUACAAACCAAUCUCACUAUUUGAGGUUGGUUCUUCUUUU
rnacentral:sRNA from 1 species